rnacentral:rRNA from 1 species
CAGCCGCCACGGGAAUACGUAGGGUGCAAGCGUUAAUCGGAAUUACUGGGCGUAAAGCGUGCGCAGGCGGUUUGUUAAGACAGAUGUGAAAUCCCCGGGCUCAACCUGGGAACUGCAUUUGUGACUGGCAAGCUAGAGUCUAGCAGAGGGGGGUGGAAUUCCGCGUGUAGCAGUGAAAUGCGUUGAGACCGGAAAGAACACCAACGGCGAAAGCACUCUGCUGGGCCGACACUGACACUGAGAGACGAAAGCUAGGGGAGCAAAUGGGAUUAGAUACCCCCGUAGUCCCUGUCUCUUAUAC